GGAGACUGGGCAGAAUAAUUGGUCAAGGAGGCUUUGGAUUGAUCUACCUAGGAAGUGGACACACCUGUUGGGGAGGACUCUAAUUUUCUGAUUAAAGUGGUGAAUACAGGAAUGGCUGCUGGUCUUGUUGUCUGCAGGAUUACCAUGUGGAUAGGCCUCUGUUUUCUGAGCUCAAGUUCCAUCUGAGGGAAACAACCUGAGAACAUGCUGAUGUUGAAGGUGAGCAAGAAGCUGGACUUCCUGCAAACUGGGGAUCAGGACUAGCAGAACACAACAGAACCAACCAAAUGGUGACAAGCUAAAGAAACACACAGUGCU